GACGAACGCUGGCGGCGUGCCUAAUACAUGCAAGUCGAACGGAGAUAUACGCUGAAGAUUUAGCUUGCUAUUGAUUCUUGUAUAUCUUAGUGGCGGACGGGUGAGUAACGCGUGAGCAACCUGCCUUUCAGAGGGGGAUAACGUUUGGAAACGAACGCUAAUACCGCAUGACAUUAUUGAGCUGCAUGGCUUGAUAAUCAAAGGAGCAAUCCGCUGAAAGAUGGGCUCGCGUCCGAUUAGGUAGUUGGUGAGGUAACGGCCCACCAAGCCGACGAUCGGUAGCCGGACUGAGAGGUUGGACGGCCACAUUGGGACUGAGACACGGCCCAG
rnacentral:rRNA from 1 species